rnacentral:rRNA from 1 species
AGGACGAACGCUGGCGGCGUGCUUAACACAUGCAAGUCGAGCGGAAAGGCCCUUCGGGGUACUCGAGCGGCGAACGGGUGAGUAACACGUGAGUAAUCUGCCCCUAGCUCUGGGAUAGCUCCGGGAAACCGGGAUUAAUACCGGAUAUGACCACUUUAGACAUCUGUUGUGGUGGAAAGAAUUUCGGCUAGGGAUGAGCUCGCGGCCUAUCAGCUUGUUGGUGGGGUAACGGCCUACCAAGGCGACG